rnacentral:rRNA from 1 species
AGUGAACGCUGGCGGUAGGCCUAACACAUGCAAGUCGAACGGCAGCACAGUAAGAGCUUGCUCUUACGGGUGGCGAGUGGCGGACGGGUGAGGAAUACAUCGGAAUCUUCUUUUUCGUGGGGGAUAACGUAGGGAAACUUACGCUAAUACCGCAUACUACCUACGGGUGAAAUCAGGGGAUCUUCGGACCUUGCCCGAUUGAAUGAGCCGAUGUCGGAUUAGCUAGUUGGCGGGGUAAAGGCCCACCAAGGCGACGAUCCGUAGCUGGUCUGAGAGGAUGAUCAGCCACACUGGAACUGAGACACGGUCCAGACUCCUACGGGAGGCAGCAGUGGGGAAUAUUGGACAAUGGGCGCAAGCCUGAUCCAGCCAUACCGCGUGAGUGAAGAAGGCCUUCGGGUUGUAAAGCCCUUUUGUUGGGAAAGAAAAGCAGCAGGUUAAUACCCCGCUGUUCUGACGGUACCCAAAGAAUAAGCACCGGCUAACUUCGUG